rnacentral:rRNA from 1 species
CCUAACACAUGCAAGUCGAGCGGAAACGAUGGUAGCUUGCUACCAGGCGUCGAGCGGCGGACGGGUGAGUAACGCGUGAGAAUCUGCCCAUUUGUGGGGGAUAACUCGGGGAAACUCGAGCUAAUACCGCAUAAUCCCUACGGGGGAAAGCAGGGGACCUUCGGGCCUUGUGCAGAUGGAUGAGCUCGCGUCGGAUUAGCUUGUUGGUGAGGUAAAGGCUCACCAAGGCGACGAUCCGUAGCUGGUCUGAGAGGAUGAUCAGCCACACCGGGACUGAGACACGGCCCGGACUCCUACGGGAGGCAGCAGUGGGGAAUCUUGGACAAUGGGGGCAACCCUGAUCCAGCCAUGCCGCGUGUGUGAAGAAGGCCUUCGGGUUGUAAAGCACUUUCAGUAGGGAGGAAGGCUUACCGCUAAUAACGGUGAGUACUUGACGUUACCUACAGAAGAAGCACCGGCUAAUUUCGUGCCAGCAGCCGCGGUAAUACGAAAGGUGCGAGCGUUAAUCGGAAUUACUGGGCGUAAAGCACGCGUAGGCGGUUUGUUAAGUCAGACGUGAAAGCCCCGGGCUCAACCUGGGAAUUGCAUUUGAAACUGGCAGGCUAGAGUGCAGUAGAGGGAGGUGGAAUUUCCGGUGUAGCGGUGAAAUGCGUANAGAUCGGAAGGAACACCAGUGGCGAAGGCGGCCUCCUGGACUGACACUGACGCUGAGGUGCNAAAGCGUGGGGAGCAAACAGGAUUANAUACCCUGGUAGUCCACGCCGUAAACGAUG